rnacentral:rRNA from 1 species
UACAAAAGCGGCUCUAUCCUGAAAUCACAGGAAGAAGAAAACAUCAACCAAACCUUCGGCGGCAUUAACUCGCAAAUGAAGCAGCCGGAUGAUUCACCGAUGGAGAUGAUG